CACGUAGGCGGUGAAUCGGGUUGAAAGUGAAAGUCGCCAAAAAGUGGCGGAAUGCUCUCGAAACCAAUUCACUUGAGUGAGACAGAGGAGAGUGGAAUUUCGUGUGUAGGGGUGAAAUCCGUAGAUCUACGAAGGAACGCCAAAAGCGAAGGCAGCUCUCUGGGUCCCUACCGACGCUGGGUGCGAAAGCAAGGGGAGCGAACA
rnacentral:rRNA from 1 species